CGGCCUUCGUACGGCGCGGCACGGUUUCCUCCGGACGCAAACUUAUUUAUAUUCUUCCCUCGAUACCCUGUUUCUCGUCCGCAACCCACUCCCCCUCUUUUCUCCCUCCUUCCCCACUGCUCUCGAAACCCUGGACCUCACGAAGCCCCAAGUUUCUUUAUGAUAUCACCCUCGAAUCCGCUCGGAUUCGCGUAUCUUCCGCUCUCCGUAUCUCUCCCGGAGGUUCUCUGCCCCCGCUUCCGCUUUUGGGAGACGUUGGUUGAUCGCUGGAGACAGCGAUCAGGGUCUGCGCUGUUUACAUCCUUGUUGUCGACGACGCCAUUAGCAAGGUGCGCGACGGGUUCGUGAAUUUCGGGUUCGGAGAGAAUGUAUUGAACGAACUCCCAUUGAAGCGGAGAGGGUUGAAGGAAAUGGAUAGCAUGGACAGUGAUUUGGAAUAGUGAUGGAGAUGAAUAAGAAAAUAAGAAUCCGAAGCCAGGGGUGGAGAGAAAAUAAGAAAAAAGAGGAAGCAAAGAUCGGGCGGUGGAGCGUUUGCGAUGCUUUUGUUUUGAGGUGUUCUCCUCCCAAGAUGCCCUAAUCUUGGCAUCUUGCUGUUUCUCGCUUAUUUUUCUUCCUUAAAUCUUUGGCUUUUUGUUUUCUUUAAUCUUUUUGGUUGUUCUCUCAUGCGGAUGGAGAAGUGGUGUGGCCCUUCCAAUCCUCGAGCUCUUGUACAGAUCUCCAAUCCCCAUUUUAAUGACAAGAAAUUCAUCGAAUGAAAUUAAAAUGUGGCUUCUUUAAUACAUGUGAUAACUGUGGCUUCUUUAAUACACUGUGUGACUGUCUAGGGUUAGGGUUUUUAAAUAAUUUUUUUUACAAAAUAAUUAUAACGACGCUUAUAAGCGUCGGCAGAAAUCAAGAGAGCCGAUGCUUAUAAGUGUCGGCAAAGGCCUGAGCGAGCCUGACGCUUAUAAGCGUUGGCAAAGCUUCGGUUUUUACUGACGCUUUUUGAAAGCGUCAGCAAAAAAAGUUUCCACUUUUAGUUUGCCGACGAUUUUGCGACGCUUUUGAAAGCGUGGGUGCCAAAAUUACCGACGCUUAUAAGCAUCGGUAUAGGCUCUGAAAAGCACCGGAAAAGACUUUUUUUGUAGUGCUUCCAGCCCUAGACACGAUAUGCAUACAUUGGUAUGAUAAAUAUUGAGAGAAAAGAAAAAGAAGGAGGAAAGAAAAUAAAUCCUUCUCCCUCAUUGUUGAAGGUAUUGGGUAAGCAUAUCAGGUGUAUCCAACAGUAUCCAAAGUCUUUUUUUUUUUUUAAAUUCAGAAAAAAGGAUACAUCAAAUAUGUUUGCAAGACCUAUCUUAGGAAGCACUAAGAAGUAUUAGUAUUUUGAUACAUGUCCAAUGCUGACAUGGCAUACAACUAGAAAUGUCCUUGUUUCAUUGUAAGGAAAUAUUUUCUUAUGAUAGUUAGAAGAUACAUGUCAAAUAUGUAUCGAUAAAUCAUGUGCUCAUUUGACACUUUGGGUCUGUUUAGUCCUCUGGAGAUUUUUUGGAAAAGGAAAAAGAAAAUGGAAAAGUUUUCCCAAGAAAAGGAACAGUAGAAUUUCUUGGUUGCCUGGGUUAGCCAAAUCAGGAAAACAUAUUUUUUGUAUUAGUUUAGCUUUCCUACCCCUCAAAACAGCCAGAAUAUUUGAUUUUUGUAAGAACUUCUGUUUUCUAGGGCUUUAUCUAAUGUCCAAAGCAAUUGAACAGAACCUUGGAUACUCAACCAAGUUCUUUGGUUGAGGCAUUUGAAGAUGGGUAGCAGGUUGUACCCUUCCAUUUAUGAAUUCAACCAACCAUAAUGAUGUUUCAGCUUGUUCAAGAACGUAGGUAUUAAAAUAACCGUGUUAAAUAAAAUGUACAUGAUGUUCUCCGAUUUAGUAGUUUUGAUGAGCAAUAUAUACUAAAAGACCUUAACGAAUAUCACCGGUCAUGUUCUCUUGCAUAUGAUAUUUUCAAGUAUACAUGUAAUUCGGUUAAAAUCUUUUUUGUACGUUCCUGUAUCUUUAUUUUUCCUCUUCCUGAGUUCAAUGCUUGGAUAUGUGUGGACCCAAUUCUUGUGUUUGUGUCCAUAAAAUACUGUCUAAUCUGAAUUUGGAGUUAUUGCGAAGGAUAUUUGGUGAAAUUAUAUAUGCUAAUGUGAAGAACAAAACUAUGUCAGGGAGAAAUGCAUGCUUAUGAAAAAAUAUGACGCAUGAAAACAUAACAAUAUGUCAUUUUCGAAGUUUGUUAAAAAAAUGAAGAGGGCCGACCAUUUUUGGCUUUUAUCUGCAUAUAUUUUCUUUAGUGCAAAUGAAAUGCCAAGUGCAACAAGAAAGCCAUUGCUUUGGCACAACAAAAUAAAAUGUUGGGUAGAAUUCUGUUAUGUUUCGGCAAUAAGCUUUCAGUUGUCCCAAAUUGUUGGAAUCUCUUACAGAUUUAAAAGCCUGAGCUUCAAUGUGACACUAGCUUUAGCAUCUGGUGGAACUGAAGCUUUAAGCAUGAAUCCUGUACACUUCCCUGCUGAAGCUACCAAAUUAGCAAGUGAAUAUGCAAUAAGUACUAUCUGAGAUCUGAUGUUGACUUGAUUUCAGUGAACAGAUAACACACAAAGCACGGAAAAGAAUGCCAUUUUUAUGUGAUUUCUUAAAAAUGCUAUUUUUUCUGCUUUUUUGUGUGUGUUUUUUUGGAUAUUUACCAAUAGUUUGUCCUACUCUAGUAUCACAUAUGAGAGUAAAUAUGUAGUUUUUGAUGGUUUUA